rnacentral:rRNA from 1 species
UGGGGAAUUUUGGACAAUGGGCGCAAGCCUGAUCCAGCCAUGCCGCGUGCAGGAUGAAGGCCUUCGGGUUGGAAACUGCUUUUGUACGGAACGAAAAGGUGCCGUCUAAUAAAGGGCGCUCAUGACGGUACCGUAAGAAUAAGCACCGGCUAACUACGUGCCAGCAGCCGCGGUAAUACGGAGGGUGCGAGCGUUAAUCGGAAUUACUGGGCGUAAAGCGUGCGCAGGCGGUUUUGUAAGACAGAGGUGAAAUCCCCGGGCUUAACCUGGGAACUGCGUUUGUGACUGCAAGGCUGGAGUACGGCAGAGGGGGGUGGAAUUCCACGUGUAGCAGUGAAAUGCGUAGAGAUGUGGAGGAACACCGAUGGCGAAGGCAGCCCCCUGGGCCUGUACUGACGCUCAUGCACGAAAGCGUGGGGAGCAAACA